rnacentral:rRNA from 1 species
GGUCUCCGUAGGUGAACCUGCGGAGGGAUCAUUACACAAAUAUGAAGGCGGGCUGGAACCUCUCGGGGUUACAGCCUUGCUGAAUUAUUCACCCUUGUCUUUUGCGUACUUCUUGUUUCCUUGGUGGGUUCGCCCACCACUAGGACAAACAUAAACCUUUUGUAAUUGCAAUCAGCGUUAGUAACAAAUUAAUAAUUACAACUUUCAACAACGGAUCUCUUGGUUCUGGCAUCGAUGAAGAACGCAGCGAAAUGCGAUAAGUAGUGUGAAUUGCAGAAUUCAGUGAAUCAUCGAAUCUUUGAACGCACAUUGCGCCCUUUGGUAUUCCAAAGGGCAUGCCUGUUCGAGCGUCAUUUGUACCCUCAAGCUUUGCUUGGUGUUGGGCGUCUUGUCUCUAGCUUUGCUGGAGACCCGCCUUAAAGUAAUUGGCAGCCGGCCUACUGGUUUCGGAGCGCAGCACAAGUCGCACUCUCUAUCAGCAAAGGUCUAGCAUCCAUUAAGCCUUUUUUUCAACUUUUGACCUCGGAUCAGGUAGGGAUACCCGCUGAACUUAAGCAUAU